rnacentral:lncRNA from 10 species
GACAGAUUCCUGCCAGACCCUUCAGAGCAAGCACCCCACACCCCUAGCCCAGGGUCUCUUCAUCGAUAGGGGGUGAUCUGUCUGCCCCUCACUGUUUUCUCCAAAUAGAUUGUUUCUAACACUGCGCAUGCCUUUCGGAGACAAAUUUUAAAAAUAAACAUUAUUUUUAAAAGGAAACAAACAAACAAAACCAAACAGAAGGGAGGCUGGGUUUCUUGGGGAUUUCGGGAGUGCCUGUGUCUCCACGACCUGGGCAGUGCUCUUCUGAGAGGACUGAGGGCUGGGGAGGCAGAGAGAGCAACGACAGGCUACCAGCAUUGAGAAAGAAGGCCUCAAGGCCACAUUGAGAAGGACACUACGCUCUGGAUCACAGGCUGAGCCCUGCAUUCUUGACAUUGGAGCCCUUCGGGAGUGCCAGAACGAGCAGUCCCUCUCCUGGAGGAGCCUGCCUUCCCACCACGGAGGCUAACACCACAACAGCCACAGUGAGCCACCCCUUCUGCCCAUCUUCUUACGUGUCAAGCACUGUGUUCAGUGCCUUCACAGGUAACUUCGAUAAGUCACGAUGGGCAUGCUGCGACUAAGUUGGUACUGAUAUUCUAUUGGUUUUAAAUGGGGAAACUGAGGCUCAGGAAGGUUCAGUAUUUUGCUGGAGGUCACACAGCCAGGCAAGGGCAGAGCCAAGAUUUCAGUUUCAAUCUGUCUGGCUUGGAAGACUUCCUUAUCUUGUGGCAGCAUCUCCAGAGAUCAUGGGUCAGCCUCUUCUUGCCAGAGGCGUGUGUGUGUGCACAGACACAUACACGC